rnacentral:rRNA from 1 species
CACAAUUCGAAGUCCGACUACAUAACCAACUCUAGCUCCUCUCUCACUCGGCAACGUCUCCUCUCCCACCCGCCUCCAGUCCGUAACGAUUGUCUAAACUCCUCCUCACCCUUUCCACUUCCACUACGGCCGGCCGACCGCGGAGUGGUGACCGAGGACAAAACGUCGCCGUUUCUCUUGCCACAACUCCUACACAACGAGAUACGUGCCGACAGUCUUCAUGUAGGAACGAUAUUACAUAAAAAGACACCGAAAGAGGUAAUCUUAUAAAGAGGAGUUGCUGGUAUAGUUGGACAGACCACAAACGUGUACAGUAAAACCAACUCCACACACGUUCUAGUAGGGAGAGAUUUGAUAUUUAAACAGACAUACAAAACCAUCUAAACUAAAUACCCGCCGUUUCCGUCCGACCGACAUGAUGUUCCGCCCCACGGUAACAAUAAAACCAAAACCGAGUACUUGAAGUUUAGUCAAGAGGAUACUUUCUUUUAGUUAGACACAUACGUACUAUGAACAAUUAUGAAAUUGACGUCAAAUCCUAUGUUUACACUAAUGUAAUUAGUAAACAAUUUGUCCAAUGGCGGUAAGGUGGAGAAGGAGCACUACCAUAUCCUCAUGUAUGAUUAAGCUAUUUGUUCUCCGUUUCAACGGUUGCGGACUCUAUCACCAAGGAUGGAGACCGGAAGCGUGGAAAUCAAGGUGUUCAUCAAUUCGUUGAGUUUACCAUUCUUGAAGUCCCAAGAAAAAAGAGAAAGAAAGAAAGAAAGAAAGAAAGAAAAGAGAACCCUGACAAAUAAGAGACAAACAUAUAUAAAGGAAACUAACUUUAUUUCCUAACACACCGGAAACGAGGUGUAUUCCAUCAGUUUUCUUUCAUGAAGGAGAUUAGGUAUAAUCAACAGCGACUAAAUCAUCACAUGAUUUAGUUACUGUUAAUUAUACCUAGUCUCCUCCAUUGUACAUAAAACAAUUUUGACGAAAUUCAUUGAUCCCGGUUCAUUGUAUGAUACACUAACAACACACACCAGCACCGUACACUUAGACUAAUUUGGUAGUAUCAACCUAUUAUCGUCAGAACCCCUCCUUAUGCUACACACAAAGUCUAUAAAUUCUCGCCAAACUAAUACAAAGUUAAAGCUUCUGUACCAGCACCGUACACUUAGACUAAUCUGGUAGUAUCAACCUAUUAUCGUCAGAACCCCUCCUUAUGCUACACACAAAGUCUAUAAAUUCUCGCCAAACUAAUACAAAGUUAAAGCUUCUGUACCAAAGCACAAUACGGAAUAUUCCAACUCCGUACACGAUAUCUCCGUUCCUUCUAAUGAAACUAAAACAACUAAUAAUCCCAAAAACUAUUACGUUGAAGAAAACCUUAGACAAUAAUCACAAAAUAUAUAACAAGGGGGUUUGCAGGAAAAAACAAAUCAAUACAUAACCGUUGGCAAAGGAAGAAGGUAACAUCAUUCAUCUUCAAUAUAUAAAAGGACAGGUACGGGAAGAAAAGGAUCCGGUCGUUAAACGAAAGAGGAACCAAAUGUCACCGACGUCGGAGGAUAAACACUGCAGCAUCGGGGUUUCCAUAGGAAGAGAGAUAUGACUUAGACUAAGAAACGUAAAACCCAAACCUAUACAAACGAUAACGGUCGAGAUAAACGUGAAUUAGUUAUAUACACGCACGUGAACAUCUUCACUUUCUCUUUAAACCUCCCGCUAUUUCCUUAUAUGUAUUCCAGGACUCCUUUUACUAUGAACAUGUACCAAACCUAAUGAGCACAAAAAAAUAAAACUGACGUUUAUUGAAGAGAAAAGUUGUGUGAAUCAUGCACUAGAUCGUUAGUGUAAUAUUAUCUCAUUCACUCUUUUUCGAGAAAUAAACUUACUGGUUCUUAGGCACCACAAGAGGACUUGACGUUCCUUGUGAGGUGAUGCUUUGAGUGAAUUCGUCCAACUAUCUACUAUGGAACAGAACUCGGAUAAAAGAGUUUUAUUACUCUCCGACUUACUAAGUCUGUGUCCUACUUGAAAGAGUGGAGUAGUAAAGUAAUGUAAAACUAAAGUAACACACCACACGAAGCUAGAUCCACUCAACUCAACGACGAACCAACCUCUACAACUACAGCAAGCUCUGCGGGCGACCUAAGUGGGAAAAGUUCCAAGACUUAUUCCCGAACAGCUCGACUCACAAGCAGUGGUGGAAUCGAGAACCAAACCAAACCUAAUGAGUACAAAAAAUAAAACUGACGUUUUAUUGAAGAGAAAAGUUGUGUGAAUCAUGCACUAGAUCGUUAGUGUAAUAUUAUCUCAUUCACUCUUUUUCGAGAAAUAAACUUACUAGUUCUUAGGCACCACACGAGGACUUGACGUUCCUUGUGAGGUGAUGCUUUGAGUGAAUUCGUCCGACUAUCUACUACAGAACAGAAACCACUCGGAUAAAAGAGUUUUAUUACUCUCCGACUUACUAAGUCUGUGUCCGACUUGGUAGAAAGAGUGAAGUAGUAAAACAAUGUAAACUAAUGACUAAGUAGUUCCUCAACAACAAGACGCAAGUGAAUAAAGGGGUUUGAUAUACAUGCGUAGCGAGCGUUUUCUUUAGCUAAAUUUAGGAGAGGCUUUUUUAAACCUGACAACAUUCAACUUUUUUACGUACACAAGACAUUCGUGAACUUAACUUCCCGUUUUACUUUUACGUACACAACCAUACGACAACGACCGGGUAUAUAGGGUUCUGUCCCAUAUGUCUAUCGAAAACUGGAACGGUCUCGCAUUCAUCAAGUAAACCAAUUAGACAAAACGCAAAACUGUACGUAGUAAACAACGUCUGACGAUCUAGCUACGAUGAAGGUAAUAAUAAUAAAAAAUAACGGAUUCGUGGCUUGUUCGUGAGAACGUAACCUCCACGGGACUUACCGAAGAUGUCUAAACAGGGUUACGUUAAUCGUCCGAUCGUAUAAACUUUUUACUUUAAAACUUACUGUAUAUCGUCCUAUACGUAGAUAAGGAUGAGGAUAGAAUAUACCUGUUUAUCUAGAUUGUCGACCGAACGAACGAACGUCACCAUGUCCACACUAGAAGUACCUCGAUCGGUAGUAACCUAAACCAUUAUGUAUUAGUGAAUAAGUCUCUCGGGUUCCACUCUUCCCUACUCGUAGAUCUUGUGGUGGUGGAUGAUUAGUCACUCGAUGAUAGACAUAAAGUUACUCAAUGAAUUGUUCUCUUCCGUCCAUCGUUAUCUUGUGCACGUUAAAGUUACAAAUGAUUAAUAGAUAAAGACUUAAAUAAGCAAGGGUCGACGAGACUUAGACCCACAAAACGAACGACGAAACAUCCUCAAAGGAUGGAAAGAAGACGUUUAUACCUUACGGAAAUACCGUACUAGUACACUUUUUUCAUGGAACUACGUCAUUACCUAAACUAAUAGUGACCAAUGAGACAAAAGUGCUUAAUGAUAGGUUGACAUUCAGACAAGAUAUGGGAUUCCGGGUACAUUUAGAUUAUCUUCUAAUUCGAUAAAUUAAAAUUGAUUUUUCCUAUUAUAAGAAAGUCAGCCAACUUAGACAGGUCUGGACUUUUUAUGAAUAUGAAACUUUCGAACUAUAUACUCAUACAUUAAAAUGUCCAUACAUCUAUCGGCUGUUACAAUAACAAGUUUACAUGAGCUCGGUCCAAAAGCCACAAAGUAACGUUGGUUUUCUUAACCAUUAUAACAAAACUACUUUUGUACCAGCGUGAACAGCCACAACAUCACCGUAUCCUUAAAAGGGGGAUUCUAGGUGAUACUUCAACUAAUUUUUCAGGUAAAAGGGAUUCUAGGUGAUACUGUUACUUUUUCUAAAGACUUUUGACACAGUGGUAUUUACAAGGUAGUAACAGGUAUCAUCAGGGUACGGUAUAAUUAAAGUCUUCUUAUUAAAGAAUAAGUCUACAAGUAACACAAAAAUACAUGACGAUAUAGAUUUUUUCGUUCAAAGUCGAUUUUGGUCUCGGCACCAAUUCUAUGAGAAGCGUGGAUCCUAUACACAUAUACAAGUCUAAAGAUUGAAAUUUGAUAUCAAAAUCUUUUACACCACGGGAGCGAAUAAAAAGAUUACGUACUUGACCCAUACAAAAUACACAUUACGCACGAACUAAAGAAAAACCAAGACCACCUAAAACUAAAACAGGUGGUACGAAGAGAGGUUUCUCUACUCAGACAAAAGCGUCGUCGCCCACUACGUACACGAAUAACAACCGACAACGAUACACCAUACGUAAAAGAGUAACAAUGACAAACAACAAACGAUACUAAUUAUAUGUAACCGUACAUGUAAAAUAUAGUCAAAACAAAAGUUGUGGUGGAUAGUGACAUAUUAAACAGCAAUUAUCUCAUCAAAGAGGAAAUAACGUAACGUAUUACGAUCGUUCGAUGUAACGUGGUAUUUGUUUUUAUUAGGAGAAGGUUCCAAUUUGGACAAAAAAGGAAGAUCGUUUCUAGAGACCUUUUCUAGUUAAGGCAAUCGGAUAUUAUAACGUCAAGAAAGCAUAGGAAGUUUCUAAAUAUUUAUAAAAGACAAAGGUGAGGUAAGCAAGAGUACCUAAGACUUUUUUUAUAAAAACAAAAAACAACUAAUUAUUAUAACGAGAGGGAAGGUCAAAACUCCACCAGCUACGUACAUCUUAUAUGUCUGAAAGGAUCUUACCACGGAAAAUCAAAAAGACGAACUACAAUCAAGUAACUACUCUUGUGGAUACAUGUACUAACGACGUACGUACUAUAGGAUCAUAUAUGACUCUUUAUAAAAACAAAAGGCCUGUAACAAAAGAUUUAGGAUAGUUGUAUAAUGGACUAUACCAGAAACUUCAAAGAUAAAAUAUCGCUGAGAGACGUGACCAGUUGAACUCAUACCAUACCAAUAGAAAGGAAAACAAAUGUUCUCUACACACCAUCUUCGACAUGAGUGUCCUUCUGAUAGUACGACACAUAUUUGGUGCAAGAUGCUAAGUGAAGACAGUACGUAUAAAUGAAAGGUCAAAAUCCUGACUUUAGGUAGGUAACAUUACUUAAACCAACAUACCCGUAAUGGAUAAACUGAAUCCGAACGAAGUAGUGUAUAUCUGACGGAAAAGAAAAGGGGCAACGAACAUACUGGAUUUUGAUAGUACAUAUACUCCGUUCAAAAAUCGUUACAAAGUGUAAAAGAAUGAACGUUAUGACACGAACGGAUAAGUCCACAAGGUUCUGGGUUUAGUAGUCUUUUUGUUGUGUAUGUUGUGAAAAAAGAAAACUUGAAACCAAUGGGAAUAUGUUCGGGGACAAGUAAAACAAAUAUAUCACCAAUCUUAUCAUUGGUAUACACGAACGAGUUAUGACUAUCUACCUUAUAAAAGUUUCGUACAUACCACACCCAGACGUUAAACCGCGUUACCCUCUAAUAACUUUUUAUGUGUAAAAAAGUUGUACUGUACCAGAACUUUACCCUCAGAUGAUAGUUUAAUUUUAUACAUCCAUGUAGAGUAACAUCUGCUGUUCAUAGAUAAAAAAAUAAUUUCCCCCAAUUUAAACAAUAGUAUAUACGAACGGACGAUGAUUUUGUUGAUUUUGUACCUUAAAGAAAAGUAUGACUUCUACCUAAGUCACCCAGAGAUGCGGUAAAACAAUGGGUUGACUGCUUGACUCUUUCUUUCCUUCCCCUAUCUAUCAGAAGCGACCGAGACGGGGGACGGCGAAGUAUAAGUCGAGGAGUGCCCGGUGUGCGUAGCGAGAUGCACCCAACCCGAAUUAUUGUAUACCCGAUAGUAUUAUGGAGGACUAGUAAUAUAGAGGCUUAUACGUGUUGUUUCUGUACAAAAAAAGAAUCCAAAAAAUAGAAAAAGGAGAAAAAAAAGGUCCUUUUUAUACGUACCGGUCCAAAGAGUAGUACUAUUGGUACAAAGGUUUGGACGAUUUUUUUAUGUUGGUACGGUUGAAAUGAGAGAGUAGUAUCACGAGUAUAAAAGUUUGACUUGUAUACGUAUAAUACGUUUCAAAGGGAACAGGGUCUGAUAAUAGAUUGUUGCAUUAUUUGUACAAAUUUUUUAUCGUACUAAAUCAACUUCCAAAAAGGUCGUACUUUGAUAAAAGUAACUGUUGUACAGAAGUCGUUCAAACACGCAGUAAACCGCGUUGCCCAGUUGAUCAUGUCUAAUUUUUUAUCUCCUGCUCCUAGCUUGUACGCUGGUCCCGGAAGUUCGGCGUACAGUUAUCCGUUGUAUACAUCUUGUAGUUACAAACAACAUGGAGGGAAACAAGUGUAUUAUAAAAAUAUAAUGGUGUCGG